rnacentral:rRNA from 1 species
CCUGAUGCAGCAACGCCGCGUGAGGGAUGACGGCCUUCGGGUUGUAAACCUCUUUUAGUAGGGAAGAAGCGUAAGUGACGGUACCUGCAGAAAAAGCACCGGCUAACUACGUGCCAGCAGCCGCGGUAAUACGUAGGGUGCAAGCGUUGUCCGGAAUUAUUGGGCGUAAAGAGCUCGUAGGCGGUUUGUCGCGUCUGCUGUGAAAUCCCGAGGCUCAACCUCGGGCUUGCAGUGGGUACGGGCAGACUAGAGUGCGGUAGGGGAGAUUGGAAUUCCUGGUGUAGCGGUGGAAUGCGCAGAUAUCAGGAGGAACACCGAUGGCGAAGGCAGAUCUCUGGGCCGUAACUGACGCUGAGGAGCGAAAGCAUGGGGAGCGAACAGGAUUAGAUACCCUGGUAGUCCAUGCCGUAAACGUUGGGCGCUAGAUGUAGGGACCUUUCCACGGUUUCUGUGUCGUAGCUAACGCAUUAAGCGCCCCGCCUGGGGAGUACGGCCGCAAGGCUAAAACUCAAAGGAAUUGACGGGGGCCCGCACAAGCGGCGGAGCAUGCGGAUUAAUUCGAUGCAACGCGAAGAACCUUACCAAGGCUUGACAUACACCGGAAACUUCCAGAGAUGGUUGCCCCCUUGUGGU